UACGGAGGAUGCAAGCGUUAUCCGGAUUUAUUAGGUUUAAAGGGUGCGUAGGUGGGCGUUUAAGUCAGUGGUUAAAGCCAUUAGCUUAACUAAUGUAUGCCAUUGAUACUGGAUGUCUUGAAUGUGGUAGAGGUAGGCGGAAUGUGUUGUGUAGCGGUGAAAUGCUUAGAUAUAACACAGAACACCGAUUGCGAAGGCAGCUUACUAUUCCAUUAUUGACGCUGAUGCGCGAAAGCGUGGGGAUCAAACAGG
rnacentral:rRNA from 1 species